rnacentral:rRNA from 1 species
GACGAACGCUGGCGGCGUGCUUAACACAUGCAAGUCGAACGGAAAGGCCCUGCUUGCAGGGUGCUCGAGUGGCGAACGGGUGAGUAACACGUGGGUGAUCUGCCCCUUACUUUGGGAUAAGCCUGGGAAACUGGGUCUAAUACUGGAUAGGACCAUGCUGGAGGUGGUGUGGUGGAUAGAUUAGUUUCGGUAAGGUAUGAGCUCGCGGCCUAUCAGCUUGUUGUUGGGGUAAUGGCCUACCAAGGCGUCGACGGGUAGCCGGCCUGAGAGGGUGGACGGCCACAUCGGGACUGCGAUACGGCCCAGACUCCUACGGGAGGCAGCAGUGGGGAAUAUUGCACAAUGGGCGCAAGCCUGAUGCAGCGACGCCGCGUGGGGGAUGACGGCCUUCGGGUUGUAAACUCCUUUCAGCCAUGACGAAGCCCUUGUGGUGACGGUAGUGGUAGAAGAAGCACCGGCUAACUACGUG